AGCGAACGCUGGCGGCAGGCUUACACAUGCAAGGCGAAAGGGCAGCCCUGUGGUGUCAGCGGCAGACGGGUGAGGAACGGGGGGGGACGGGCCCUUCGGUUCGGAAUAACUCAGGGAAACUUGAGCUAAUAGCGGAUACGACCCUAUGGGGAAAGGCGUGCUGCCGAAGGAUCGGCCCGCGUCUGGUUAGUUGGUUGGUGAGGUUAGGGCUCCCCAAGGCGACGAGCAGUAGCUGGUCUGAGAGGCUGAUCCGCCACACCGGGACUGAGACACGGCCCAGACUCCUACGGGAGGCAGCAGUGGGGAAUCUUGGACUAUGGCGGCAAUCCUGAUCCCGCCCUGCCGCGUGAGUGAUGACGGCCUUAGGGUUGUAAAGCUCUUUUCUCCGGGGCGAUAAUGACGGUACCGGAGGAAUAAGCCCCGGCUAACUUCGUG
rnacentral:rRNA from 1 species